UGCUGGGAUUACAGGUGUGAGCCACCAUGCCCACCCCAAUUACUGAACUAAUGUUGAUACAUUAUUAUUAACUAAAGCGCAUACUUUAUUCUGACUUAUUUUUUGCUCAAUGUCCUUCUCUUCCAGGGUCCAGGAGGCCACAUUACAUUUAGUCAUCCUGUCUUCUUCAAUUCCCCUUAUCUACGAGUUUCUCAGACUUUGUUUUUGAAGACUUUGGAAGUUUUGAAGAGUGUUGCUCAAGUAUUUUAUAGCUAUGCCUCAACUGGGGCAUAUCUGAUGUUUUGCUAUGGUUAGGGGCAGACCCAGACGUGCCAUUCCACAUUCUUUCCUACCAUGAGGACCCCGACUCAGACAAGCACUGGAGGGCAAACAAACGAAACCAGCAUUCUUUGAGUUUUCCAAUCAUGCAUGUUUAAACCAUCUUGUUCGUCUGAGGGCAAGAAUCCAGAAAAGUAUAAAUUAAGCAGAUAAUAAGAAAGCAAAACUGCCAGCGAUCUCCGCCCUUUGUAUGGAAAGUGCCGUAUUUCAGCCUUCGAAGCGCAGUGUCAUUUCAGAGCGGCUGAAGGUCUUCUCCUGGCUCCUCAAGACAUCCUUACAUCAGAACCCCUUAUAAAUUCCCAGAAGACUCAUAAAGAAAUGAAAUCCUCCCUUCUGAAUCUGGUUAGCAUGUUAAUAUUUACUGAAUGUAUUUUCCCAAAUUAGUUUCUCUAUUGACUGGUUGCUUCCAUGAGAAUGAAAGAACUUCCUAAAGGAAAUGGACUUGCGUAUAUAUGAAAAGCAAUAGAAGGACCAUAUGGUUUCAAUGAACUUCUUUGGAAGUUGUUAUGAUUUUGUCUUGCUGAUGUCCUUUUGCUCUGUUACUGGGAAAGAGAGCUAUGUUUCUGAGCAGUGCUUGAUGAUGGAAGAAAGGGGGCAGGUCCUUGUGGGGCACAAUCCUGCAAUUUCUCCCUUGUGAAGUGGUGCAUGGUAACCUACAAAUGACUCUCAAGUGUCUGCACUUGGUGGACUCAUGUGUAACCAUAUCAGAUUAGAUCAAACACAGUGGUCGUUAAGAGUCCCAUCGAGCAAGAUGACAGUGAAAAUUACACAGCAAGGACUGACGUAACUUUCCAAGAGUGAGCUGAGGGACGCUGCGUGGGAGCGUGUCUUUGUAUCUGGAAAAGGAAAAGAAAACUGCAUUCAUUUUUGAUGAUGGAUUUGGUCACGUACAAAAGGCAAGGGCACAAUUUGAAAAGAACAAGAUGGCUUUCCUAAAACAACAGCUGGAAACACUUUGCAGCAGCUGCUGAUAUAAAUAAUUCACUGUUAAUUGAUUCUGAGGCCAGUCCUGAAACUGGCAAGCCAAGUUGCAUGACAGGAAGGUGCACCAUGGAAAGUGAUAAUGGCAUGGAUAUUUAUUCCCAUUCACCCUUGCAUGGGAUAAGGAAGAGGCCAGCCACACUCCUUUUGAUUCAUUUGUGAGUCAGCCCUGGAAGCAUCUUUAAAGCAGCAGCUCCCGUUGUGCCCUUCAGUUCCUGGAUGAAGACGGAGAUGCCAGUGUUUAACAAUGACUUACUUCUUUUAUAUUUCCCUUUCACUGAAAGUUUCUGAGUUGACAUCCACUUGCCACUGGAGUGUUCAGGGGAUAUUAUGAGAUUAGCAGCAUAAGAAGGUGGCUAAAGGAGCAUUUGACCUCUGGCUUCAAACCCAUAUGGGGGCUCCCUUGUGAACGUGCAACUUUAUCUCAAAAUCAGUCCUUAUACCUGAGUGUGUAAUUGGUGUUUUAAUAGUAAGCAUUAAAAUACAAAAAUUUAUGUAUGCUUGCUUUAUUUUUUCACAUACAAAUAGAAAUAAAGUAUACAUGGACAUA